AUACGGAGGGAACAAGCGUUAUUCGGAAUCACUGGGCGUAAAGGACGCGUAGGCGGGUUAUUAAGUCGGGUGUGAAAUCCAAUGGCUCAACCAUUGAACUGCAUUCGAAACUGAUAACCUAGAGUAUGGAAGGGGCAGGUGGAAUUAGUGGUGUAGGGGUAAAAUCCGUAGAUAUCACUAGGAAUACCGAAAGCGAAGGCGACCUGCUGGGACAUUACUGACGCUGAGGCGUGAAAGCGUGGGGAGCAAACAGGAUUAGAAACCCUAGUAGUCC
rnacentral:rRNA from 1 species